AGAGUUUGAUCCUGGCUCAGGACGAACGCUGGCGGCGUGCCUAAUACAUGCAAGUCGAGCGAGCGGAACUAACAGAUUUACUUCGGUAAUGACGUUAGGAAAGCGAGCGGCGGAUGGGUGAGUAACACGUGGGGAACCUGCCCCAUAGUCUGGGAUACCACUUGGAAACAGGUGCUAAUACCGGAUAAGAAAGCAGAUCGCAUGAUCAGCUUUUAAAAGGCGGCGUAAGCUGUCGCUAUGGGAUGGCCCCGCGGUGCAUUAGCUAGUUGGUAAGGUAAAGGCUUACCAAGGCGAUGAUGCAUAGCCGAGUUGAGAGACUGAUCGGCCACAUUGGGACUGAGACACGGCCCAAACUCCUACGGGAGGCAGCAGUAGGGAAUCUUCCACAAUGGACGCAAGUCUGAUGGAGCAACGCCGCGUGAGUGAAGAAGGUUUUCGGAUCGUAAAGCUCUGUUGUUGGUGAAGAAGGAUAGAGGUAGUAACUGGCCUUUAUUUGACGGUAAUCAACCAGAAAGUCACGGCUAACUACGUGCCAGCAGCCGCGGUAAUACGUAGGUGGCAAGCGUUGUCCGGAUUUAUUGGGCGUAAAGCGAGCGCAGGCGGAAGAAUAAGUCUGAUGUGAAAGCCCUCGGCUUAACCGAGGAACUGCAUCGGAAACUGUUUUUCUUGAGUGCAGAAGAGGAGAGUGGAACUCCAUGUGUAGCGGUGGAAUGCGUAGAUAUAUGGAAGAACACCAGUGGCGAAGGCGGCUCUCUGGUCUGCAACUGACGCUGAGGCUCGAAAGCAUGGGUAGCGAACAGGAUUAGAUACCCUGGUAGUCCAUGCCGUAAACGAUGAGUGCUAAGUGUUGGGAGGUUUCCGCCUCUCAGUGCUGCAGCUAACGCAUUAAGCACUCCGCCUGGGGAGUACGACCGCAAGGUUGAAACUCAAAGGAAUUGACGGGGGCCCGCACAAGCGGUGGAGCAUGUGGUUUAAUUCGAAGCAACGCGAAGAACCUUACCAGGUCUUGACAUCUAGUGCCAUUUGUAGAGAUACAAAGUUCCCUUCGGGGACGCUAAGACAGGUGGUGCAUGGCUGUCGUCAGCUCGUGUCGUGAGAUGUUGGGUUAAGUCCCGCAACGAGCGCAACCCUUGUUAUUAGUUGCCAGCAUUAAGUUGGGCACUCUAAUGAGACUGCCGGUGACAAACCGGAGGAAGGUGGGGAUGACGUCAAGUCAUCAUGCCCCUUAUGACCUGGGCUACACACGUGCUACAAUGGGCAGUACAACGAGAAGCGAGCCUGCGAAGGCAAGCGAAUCUCUGAAAGCUGUUCUCAGUUCGGACUGCAGUCUGCAACUCGACUGCACGAAGCUGGAAUCGCUAGUAAUCGCGGAUCAGCACGCCGCGGUGAAUACGUUCCCGGGCCUUGUACACACCGCCCGUCACACCAUGGGAGUCUGCAAUGCCCAAAGCCGGUGGCCUAACCUUCGGGAAGGAGCCGUCUAAGGCAGGGCAGAUGACUGGGGUGAAGUCGUAACAAGGUAGCCGUAGGAGAACCUGCGGCUG
rnacentral:rRNA from 6 species